CAUCACAUCACUCUUCAUCAUCUACAGAACAGUACGAGAUUACGAGUCCUGACCUUCGAGAAAGUAGUUCUGUGCCUCACACUCCUACUGCGAAUGACUUACCUGGAGGUGUAAGUGCUCCACAGCUUGAAUCUUAUGAUUCAUCAAGGCGACUCAUCAUCGAGCCUGCGGGAUACGGUUGGUUACCGGAAAAAGCUUCAACUCUCCUUACAGAUGAGAUACAAAAACUAUUUAAAGACUCAUCUACUUGGGGCCAAACGUCACCAAAUCGCUAGAGACAGAUCUAUUAUGCCUUUAAGGUAUAUGCUUAUUUUUAUUUAAACAAUCCACUUAUAUUGAUCGAUUCCUUAUUAAUAAACUCAUUUACUUUUCGUUGCAGGAAAAAUGUUACUGGCGCCCGGAACAUGAGAAGCAGCUAACUCAAAACUUCAAGAAGAAAGCUCAGCGCUUACUAUGUGACAUGUUAGGAAGGGUUCGUCAAUCUCACAAGAAGCCUAAGUCGAUCCUUCCUGAAAACUAUAACAAGCUACUUCGUUACUGGGCAACUAAUGACGAUUCUUACAACUGAGUGACAUAGGGAAGAAGGCUAGAAAUUCGACGAAGGGUGGCUCCCUACACACUAGUGGGGCUAUGAGUCAAGAGGCCGUGAGGAGGAAGCUGGCAAGUCUACAUUAACUCUACUUAAAGGAUUGUGAAUUGACUUUAUUUUCUUUAUGUCUUAUCAAUUUAUUCUUUUGCAGGAACUAAAACGGGGAAUGCCAGUGCCUCAAGAUGAGGCAUUCAAGAUCACUCACGUGAAGAAGAAGGCAAAUGUUAAUGAUCCAGAUCACUGGUGUGAGGAACGGGCUAAGCAGACCUACGUAAUGAGAAGUGCAUUUUUCUUGCUGAAAAGUACUUCAACCUGCUACUGAUUUUGUACUUUAAGUUCUAGACUUGCAGGUUUGUAUUAAGUCCAUAACACAACAGAGAGUUUCUGCAUUUUUAGCUGUUUCAUUUAGUUUUUAAAUUACUUAAAGUCCAAAGUUAAUCUGGACCUGGGGUGCAAAGAUGAAUUUCGGUGAUAAUAUAUAUUAUGGAGUCCAAUGUAGAUUUCCAAAUGCAAGACGAAGCACAAAGGUUGGCUUUCACUGAAUGCAAGUUGAUAUUGAAGGAAAGUCGAAAAUUGUUAGCAGUAUUGAUUUGUUUUCCUUUUAGUAGUAUUGAUCUCAACCAUGUUUUAGUUGAAUUGUUAGUAGUAUUGAUUUGAACCAUGUUCUAUUUUGGUUGUUUACUAAAUGUUUGAUAGUUUUUUCUAUUGAAUUCGAGAUUUAAGUUGGUUGCUAAUGUUACCUUU